rnacentral:lncRNA from 1 species
CAGAGACCCGCCCCGGCCCGCAGGACACCCCCUCGGAACGCGCGGCCCCCGGCUAAGUCAUGUUUAACAGCCUCAGAAAUUAUCUUGUCUCCGCGUUCUUUCUUCUGCCGGCGAGCCAGUGUCAUUUGUGGAUUAUUAAAGAAACCUCUCCAUACCUGAUGCAUAAAGAUAGUUAAGGUUUUAGGCACUGGUGAUAGAGCAGUGAACAAAGCAGUUUCUGCCCUCAUGGAGCUUACAUCCUAAUGAGAGAGCCUGAUAACAAGCAAGUAAGUAAAUUCAUAGUAUUUCAGAUAUUCAGUGACAGAUGCUGUGGAGAACAGUAAAACAGGGGCAGUGAGAUAGCAUGUUCUGAAAGGGGAUAUUUUGUGUACAGGGGUUAGGCAAGACCGUUCUGAUGAGGUGAACUGAAGGGAGUAGUCUUACAGAAAUCUAAGAGAAAAAUAGGAAGUGUGAAAGUUUUGAAGCAGAAGCAUGUGGGGUGCUGGGCAGCUUAGAGGCUUGCACUGGUUUUCUACAGCUGCUGUAACAAAUUACCAUAAACUUAGUGGCCUAAAACACAAAAAUUCCAUUUCUCACAGUUCUUUAGUUCAGAAGUAUCCAAAAUCAGUCUCACUGACUAAAAUCAAGAGAUCACCAGGACUGCAUUCUUUGCAGAUCCUGGGUGAGAAUUCGUUUCCUUGCCCUUUUCUAGCUUCUAGAAGCAGCUGUCUGCCUUCCUCCCUCUGUAAAGGCAGCAAUGAUGGGUGGAGUUGUUCUCUGAUUUGCAUAAAUCCGAUCUACUCUUCACCUUCUUAUUUCUGCUUAUAAGAACCCUUCUGAUUGCAUUGGUCCCACUUGAAUCCAGUAUAAUCUCCCCAUCUCAAGAUCAGCUAAUUAGUAACUUCUAUUCCAUCUGAGUUCUGGGUAUUAGGAUCUGGACAUCUGUGGGGAACUAUUAUUCUGCCUAGCACAGGGUUGAAGCAGACUAAAGGAAGGGAAGAAUGAGUUCAGGGACUGGGCUGAGUGGGAGGCAGGUCAUGUAGGGCCUUGUAAACAAUGUGGACAGGGAGAUAGGAAGUCUUAAGGAGGAUUGAUUCACCUUGGUUGCUGUGUGGCUAGUAGACUCAAUGGCAAACAAGAGUGGAAGCAGGAGAGCAGUUAAUAUGCCACUGCAGAAUUCCAAGACAAAGAUGAUGGUGGUUUAGACCAGUGAAGGUGGUGAGGUGCGGUCAGAUCCGGGAUGUUGUUUGGAGCUAGAGUGAGGGAUAUCUGCUAAGGUGUUGGACGUAGGGUAUAAGAGAAUGUGAGGAUUCACGAAUGACUGCAAGGAUUUCAGCCCAGUAACUGGAAGAGUAUACUUUCUAUUUUGAGAUGGGGAUGGCUUUAGAAGAAGCAGGAUAUAGGAGGUGGAAAUUGGGAGUUUGCUUUUGGACAC